rnacentral:misc_RNA from 1 species
GUGUGGUUACACAAAACAUUACAUAUCUACCACCUUACUUACCCUUAUAGGCAAGUCUUUUUUAAACACAUAUUUAAACAUUAUUGAUAAAACCAAUAAGAAUCACAUCAAAAUAUCAGGAAGUAAAAAUUCAAUAAUUUAUUAAGCAGGUCUUUAAUACAAUCACUACUACAAUAUUGUAUGUAUGUAAUGGGAGAAAUAAUAAUGCACCAGUGCAUCAAUUGAGAAUGAUUUAUUGAAUAAACAUGUUUUCAUUGGGAAAUAAUUAGGAAAAAAUUUUCCAGCUAUGAGAUUAUAAAGGAAGGAAUACAAGGCUGUUACAUUCAGAAAGUUGUCUUCGUAAGUUGAUUUAUACUAGUAAUGUGUAUUUAUUAUUAUUAAGCUUGUUAUAUCAAAUAUAUUCAAUGUAUACAUCAUUCAACAAAGAAAACAACCUCCCAAAUAUACCAACAGAUCAAUUGUAAUCAAUGAGAUAUUUGUGUAUGGUGAAAUAUUGUUUUUAUUCACCUCAUAUAAUAUGAAAAGUGCUUAGAAUCACAUUGUAUGAUAAUAUUUGAUCACAAUGGGUUAAUAAUAUCCUAUCAUUAUUAAAUGUAACCUUAUUACACUAAAAAAUUAAAAUAGAACUCUUUAAAUAUCAAUGUUUAAUUAGAAAUUAUAUUAUUUCAUACAAUGGUUAUUUAAUCUAUAACCAUUCUUGAUUAAUAAACAAACAUGCAUAUCAUGAAUCUGUAUUGAAAAAAAAAUUCAACCAAUACUUUUAUUUCAAGAUCAAUAACGGAAACUAUGUAUCAUCCCGAACAAACAAAUUGGACAUUAUAUAUAACUAGAAGUUUGAUAAUAUAGAAAGUGUUUUCAUUAAAUUUUGAAACUCAGACAAUUAAUAUUAACAUACCUUUUCCACCUUUUCAAAGUUGCGCAUUUUCA